GGCAAGGGGAGGGAAGGAGUCAGCAACACGGCGACAGGGAACGACAGGCGUUGCUCCCGAGCCUCCAGCUGCCACCCAGAAAUGGAAUUCCCACUGAAAUGAUGCUCCCAAGGAGUGAGAGAAGAGUUGAGCUGCCAGAGCUGCUGGAUUCACCCCUCAGCUUGGUUAAAAUCCCUCUUGGUGCAGCCUAAAUGCCACCUGUGGCUGUGCCAGAGCCACAAUGCCCAGGGGACAGUCAGCGUUCGAAGCCAGAACAGAUUCCAUGGAAAUACCAGCAAAAGCAGGAAAAGCAGCAACCAGUGAGCCAGGCAGGAGGAUCAACAGGACAGAGCUGGCCAAAUAACACAGGGAGAAGAGCGGCGGCUCCCUUUUAAAUGCAAAUCCAGCAGCAAUUUACCCUGAAAACCCCCAAGAGGAAAGGCAGAGAGGCGGCACAAGAGAUUCUUUACGGCUGAACAUCAAUUUUCAAAUCACAGAACUGCAGGAGUGGCUCUAAUGAAAGGGGAGCUGGUGCCGGCAAGGAGGUGGCCCCGCUUCCAUCGAUCCCUUUGGAAGUUGUGCUCUGUGUCCCACGUGCCUGGAACACUCCUGAGCCUUCCCACCAAGCUGACAAUGAAACCAGACCUGCUUAAACCAACACGGGCUGGAGCAGGGCUUUUUCUGCAUCCACUGCUCAGCUCUGCUUCAAAAGGAAAAAAAAAAAAAAUACCUUUUUGGAGAUGGAUGAAAAAAUAAUUUUGAAGGAUUUUUUGGCUCUGGGUCACUGCAGGGUUGGCAGAGCUGGGGGAGGAAAUGAGGGAAGAUGUGGGGCUGGCACCAACAGGAUCAGCUGGCAUGAGGGAGGGCAAAAGGAAGGAAAAAGGUGGAAAUGCAAGUCCAGGACUUGGAAUGAGGGAUUUUUUGGGACACUGAGAGGCUGGAAAAUGAUUUGUAAGUGUUACAAACCUUGGGUUGUUCUGGCAUCUGACUCCAAAGGGAGCCAGGGAGCACUUGGAGGGCAAAUGAUUUACAAGGAAGAGAAGAGGGAAAUAGAAACCCUUCACCUCCACACUCCCCAGACUCCAGCAUGGCCAGCUCCUCUGGAGCCACACCAAGGGAGUGAGAAGCCCCAGAAGUGGGGUUGGAGAGCUCAGCAAAGGUGGGAUGUGACCCCAGGACAGCACUGCCCAUCCAGAGAGCCAGGGAAGCUCCUGCCUUUGCCUCUUCCUGGUGGCCCCAGUGAGCAAAGUUAUGCAAGAUCAAACCUGAGGCUCCAGCCAAGAACUUUUAUGUAAGUUCCCUCCUUGGCUUUGCACAGCUCUGCUCCCACAAGGAGCUGGGCACCACCAGGAACCUCCUUGGCUCUGCCAGGGGUUCAGCCACCCCACUUUAAUUAAAAUACCUCGAUUUUAUCCUUCUCCAUGCUCCAUUCUCUUGGACAGGAGGGAGAGGAUGCUCCUGCAGCCAGGCAGGGCUCUCCAACAGUGGGAACAGCCCUGAGAGCAGCCUGACCUGGAAUUUUGUACCUCCAGGGCACUGAGAAGGGUGGAGAGACUCACCCAGUUCCUGCUCCUGUCUGAAAAAUGAGGAGAUAAGUCCUUAUCUCACACACACAGAAAAAAAACCCAGAGCUGUGGAAUGGCUUGGGAUGGAAAGAGCAUCCACUCUCCCAGGUUGCUCCAAGCCCCAUCCAACCUUCCAGGGACACUUCCAUGGAUCCAGGGCAGCCACAGCUCCUCAGGGAAUUCCAUCCCAGCCCUCCCCACCCUCACAGGGAAGAAUUCCUUCUCUACACCCACCCUAAAUUUCCCCUUUCAGCUCAAAUCCAUUCUCCUGUCACUGCAAUUCCAUGGCUGGUCCUGGUUAAGCUCAUUCUCAGAGCCAGCCACCAAUUAAUUAA